AUUGCCUCAGUAACGGCGAGUGAAGCGGCAACAGCUCAAAUUUGAAAUCUGGCCCUAGGCCCGAGUUGUAAUUUGCAGAGGAUGCUUUUGGCGAGGUGCCUUCCGAGUUCCCUGGAACGGGACGCCAUAGAGGGUGAGAGCCCCGUCUGGUCGGACACCGAGCCUCUGUAAAGCUCCUUCGACGAGUCGAGUAGUUUGGGAAUGCUGCUCAAAAUGGGAGGUAUAUGUCUUCUAAAGCUAAAUACCGGCCAGAGACCGAUAGCGCACAAGUAGAGUGAUCGAAAGAUGAAAAGCACUUUGAAAAGAGAGUUAAAUAGCACGUGAAAUUGUUGAAAGGGAAGCGUUUAUGACCAGACUUGGCCCGGUUGAUCAUCCAGCGUUCUCGCUGGUGCACUCUGCCGGUCCAGGCCAGCAUCAGUUCGUCGCGGGGGAUAAAGGCUUCGGGAAUGUAGCUCCUCCGGGAGUGUUAUAGCCCGUUGCGUAAUACCCUGCGGUGGACUGAGGUCCGCGCUCUGCAAGGAUGCUGGCGUAAUGGUCAUCAACGACCCGUCUUGAAACACGGACCAAGGAGUCGUCUUCGUAUGCGAGUGUUCGGGUGUAAAACCCCUACGCGUAAUGAAAGUGAACGCAGGUGAGAGCUUCGGCGCAUCAUCGACCGAUCCUGAUGUUCUCGGAUGGAUUUGAGUAAGAGCAUACGGGGCCGGACCCGAAAGAAGGUGAACUAUGCCUGUAUAGGGUGAAGCCAGAGGAAACUCUGGUGGAGGCUCGCAGCGGUUCUGACGUGCAAAUCGAUCGUCAAAUAUGGGCAUGGGCGCGAAAGACUAAU
rnacentral:rRNA from 1 species